GCAUUGUGUGACUGUGGCUUUUGUUUAAUGGAAUAAACCUUAAUAUGAUUUAAGGAAACCAAAAUAUUUUUAAAGAAAAUUAUAUUUGAAGAAUUGCAGAAAGCUUGACCCAAGGGACGGAGAGUAGAAAACGAAAGUCUUUGAAUUUCCAAACUUCUGCAAGCAGGAAGCAGCUGCAAACACACAUUUCCUUUUGUGAAAAAAAAUGAUAACAGUGCAGACCAACAUACCGGAGCGUGGAGGCCAGAACCAUGGAUGAAGAAUUAAAUAUAAUGCAUCAUUAUGUACUCAGAUGCUCAGUCGUGUCUGACUCUUUGCAACCUCAUGGACUGUAGCCUGCCAGGCUCCACUGUCCAUGGAAUUCUCCAGGGAAAGAUCUUCUAUGCCUCUAUUGUUGCUGUGAGAAGAAAAUUUUCAGCCAGUUCCUGGUUCCAGAAAGACGAUGAGAGACAUGAAGAGCACAACCUCCCUAGUUAAGCUGCCCUAAGAAUGCAGUAAAGAACAGAGAACUCUCCCAGAGAAGAAAACUGCAGAUUGGCCAUUCCAACCGAACCAGCUAAAUUCAGCCUAGAUGAAGGCUGAGAUCUUUACAAUGUGAGCUGAAAGGACAACGUUUGUUUCUAGUGGAGGGGUGAUGUGUUAUGGUGCAAUUGAUAACUUUUACAAAGUUGUAUGCAGAUAACAAAAUAAAACACAGUACAUGACAGAAAUUUACAGAAGUGUUGAAGUAGUUUUGCUAUCCUUGUGUAAGAAAAGUUUAACACUAAUGUUAAGAAGCAGGAGAGAGACCAAGAUAGUGACAUUUGUUGUUGCUUAGUUGCUAAGUUGGGUCAUGUCUGACUCUUUGCAGCCCCAUGGACUGCAGCAUGCCAGGCUCCUCAAUCCUCCACUAUCUCCUGGAGUAUGCUCAAAUUCUUGUCUGUUGAGUCACGGAUGCUAUCUAACCAUCUCAUCCUCUGCCACCCUCUCUCCUUUUGCCUUCAAUCUUUCCCGGCAUCAGGGUCUUUUCCAAUGAGUCAACUCUUUGGCAUCAGGUGGCCAACGUAUUAGAACUUCAGCUUCAACCACAGUCCUUCUGAUAAAUAAUUCAGGGUUGAUAUCUUUUAGGACUGAUUGGUUUGAUCUCCUUGCAGUCCAAGGGACUCUCAAGAG